rnacentral:rRNA from 1 species
UACGUAGGUGACAAGCGUUGUCCGGAUUUACUGGGCGUAAAGAGCGCGCAGGCGGUCGUUCAAGUCGAGUGUGAAAGCCCCCGGCUCAACUGGGGAGGGUCAUUCGAUACUGAUCAACUUGAAGGCAGGAGAGGGUAGUGGAAUUCCCGGUGUAGUGGUGAAAUGCGUAGAUAUCGGGAGGAACACCAGUGGCGAAGGCGACUACCUGGCCUGUUCUUGACGCUGAGGCGCGAAAGCUAGGGGAGCAAACGGG